rnacentral:misc_RNA from 1 species
GGGGACCUUUGAGGUGAUGGCAGUCCUCCCAGGAUAUCCUGAUAAUGUCAGCACAAAUGAGAGAGGUGAAUUUUGGGUAGCAAUCCACUGUCGCCGUACCAUUUACAGCUAUAUAAAUUCCAUAUACCCACAACUUCGUCUAUUCUUGCUGAAGCUUCCUAUCCCUGUAAAGCUCCGCGCCCUCUUGCACCUCGGAGGCAAGCUACCCGCUAUUGUUGUGAAGUAUAACCGUGAAGGUAAGUUGUUACGAAUAUUGGAAGACGAAGAAGGGAAAGUAGUUCGAGCUGUAAGUGAUGUUGAGGAGAAAGAUGGGAAGCUAUGGAUGGGAAGUGUGUUGAUGCCUUUCAUUGCUGUUUACCAACUACAAUGAGUUAAAACACUUGAUUUUUCAACAAACUAUCUACUUAGUUCCUUAUGGUUGUUUGUAGCAUCUAAUUUAUCAGAAUAAUUCAAUAAAACACUCUUUUU